GGUUAAGCGACUAAGCGUACACGGUGGAUGCCCUGGCAGUCAGAGGCGAUGAAGGACGUGCUAAUCUGCGAUAAGCGUCGGUAAGGUGAUAUGAACCGUUAUAACCGGCGAUUUCCGAAUGGGGAAACCCAGUGUGAUUCGUCACACUAUCAUUAACUGAAUCCAUAGGUUAAUGAGGCGAACCGGGGGAACUGAAACAUCUAAGUACCCCGAGGAAAAGAAAUCAACCGAGAUUCCCCCAGUAGCGGCGAGCGAACGGGGAGGAGCCCAGAGCCUGAAUCAGUAUGUGUGUUAGUGGAAGCGUCUGGAAAGGCGCGCGAUACAGGGUGACAGCCCCGUACACAAAAAUGCACAUGCUGUGAGCUCGAUGAGUAGGGCGGGACACGUGGUAUCCUGUCUGAAUAUGGGGGGACCAUCCUCCAAGGCUAAAUACUCCUGACUGACCGAUAGUGAACCAGUACCGUGAGGGAAAGGCGAAAAGAACCCCGGCGAGGGGAGUGAAAAAGAACCUGAAACCGUGUACGUACAAGCAGUGGGAGCACAGAGCAAUCUGUGUGACUGCGUACCUUUUGUAUAAUGGGUCAGCGACUUAUAUUCUGUAGCAAGGUUAACCGAAUAGGGGAGCCGAAGGGAAACCGAGUCUUAACUGGGCGUUAAGUUGCAGGGUAUAGACCCGAAACCCGGUGAUCUAGCCAUGGGCAGGUUGAAGGUUGGGUAACACUAACUGGAGGACCGAACCGACUAAUGUUGAAAAAUUAGCGGAUGACUUGUGGCUGGGGGUGAAAGGCCAAUCAAACCGGGAGAUAGCUGGUUCUCCCCGAAAGCUAUUUAGGUAGCGCCUCGUGAAUUCAUCUCCGGGGGUAGAGCACUGUUUCGGCAAGGGGGUCAUCCCGACUUACCAACCCGAUGCAAACUGCGAAUACCGGAGAAUGUUAUCACGGGAGACACACGGCGGGUGCUAACGUCCGUCGUGAAGAGGGAAACAACCCAGACCGCCAGCUAAGGUCCCAAAGUCAUGGUUAAGUGGGAAACGAUGUGGGAAGGCCCAGACAGCCAGGAUGUUGGCUUAGAAGCAGCCAUCAUUUAAAGAAAGCGUAAUAGCUCACUGGUCGAGUCGGCCUGCGCGGAAGAUGUAACGGGGCUAAACCAUG
rnacentral:rRNA from 1 species